rnacentral:rRNA from 1 species
AUGUGAUCGUCUCUCGCAUAUCAAUAAGCGGAGGAAAAGAAACUAACAAGGAUUCCCCUAGUAACGGCGAGUGAAGCGGGAAGAGCUCAAAUUUGAAAUCUUAAAGGGUUUCCCUUUACGAAUUGUAGUUUAAAGAAGUGUUUUCUGUUGAGGUUUUGGUAAAAGUUCUUUGGAAUAGGACAUCAUAGAGGGUGAGAAUCCCGUAUUUGACCUUUACUUUCAACUUUGUGAUACACUUUCAAAGAGUCGGAUUGUUUGGGAAUGCAGUCCAAAAUGGGUGGUAAAUUUCAUCUAAAGCUAAAUAUUGGCGAGAGACCGAUAGCGAACAAGUACCGUGAGGGAAAGAUGAAAAGAACUUUGAAAAGAGAGUUAAACAGUACGUGAAAUUGUCAAAAGGGAAGCGUUUGACACCAGUGUUGUUUUUCUGAAAAUCAAUUAAAGAACUGUUUAUGCUAAGCUUGUUUAGACUUUAUCAGCUAAUCUGUUUAGUUUUGAGCUUUUCUUUAAUGCACUUUUCAGUUAACAAGUCAACAUCAAUUUCUUUUGCUGUAAAAAAGCUUGAGGAAGGUGGCUUGAGAUUCGUCUUAAGUGUUUAUAGCCUCUUGCCUAUGCAGUCGGAGAGAUUGAGGUCUGCAGCGUAGAUCCUUCGGGGCUAAAUGCAUUUGUGCUAAGUUAUAGCAUUUUAUAGACAACUUGUUGACUAUGAUUUGUCUUGUAGCUUACUCGCUUAUGUUAUUUUACCUACGCUUAGGAUGUUGAUCUACAGAGCGAGAGU